CUACAGGCUUAACACAUGCAAGUCGAGGGGCAGCAUGGUCUUAGCUUGCUAAGGCCGAUGGCGACCGGCGCACGGGUGAGUAACACGUAUCCAACCUGCCGUCUACUCUUGGACAGCCUUCUGAAAGGAAGAUUAAUACAAGAUGGCAUCAUGAGUUCACAUGUUCACAUGAUUAAAGGUAUUCCGGUAGACGAUGGGGAUGCGUUCCAUUAGAUAGUAGGCGGGGUAACGGCCCACCUAGUCUUCGAUGGAUAGGGGUUCUGAGAGGAAGGUCCCCCACAUUGGAACUGAGACACGGUCCAAACUCCUACGGGAGGCAGCAGUGAGGAAUAUUGGUCAAUGGGCGCAGGCCUGAACCAGCCAAGUAGCGUGAAGGAUGACUGCCCUAUGGGUUGUAAACUUCUUUUAUAAAGGAAUAAAGUCGGGUAUGUAUACCCGUUUGCAUGUACUUUAUGAAUAAGGAUCGGCUAACUCCGUG
rnacentral:rRNA from 1 species